rnacentral:rRNA from 1 species
UACGUAGGGGGCAAGCGUUGUCCGGAUUUAUUGGGCAUAAAGAGCGUGUAGGCGGUUAUGCAGGUCCGCUGUGAAAACUGGAGGCUUAACCUCCAGACGUCGGUGGAAACCGUAUGACUAGAGUCCGGAAGAGGAGAGUGGAAUUCCUGGUGUAGCGGUGAAAUGCGCAGAUAUCAGGAAGAACACCCGUGGCGAAGGCGGCUCUCUGGGACGGUACUGACGCUGAGACGCGAAAGCGUGGGGAGCGAACAGG